GAAAUGCGAUAAGUAAUGUGAAUUGCAGAAUUCAGUGAAUCAUCGAAUCUUUGAACGCACAUUGCGCCCGCCAGUAUUCUGGCGGGCAUGCCUGUCCGAGCGUCAUUUCAACCACCAAGCCCCCGGGCUUGUGUUGGGGACCUGCGGCUGCCCGCAGGCCCUGAAAACCAGUGGCGGGCUCGCUGUCACACCGAGCGUAGUAGCAAUCACCUCGCUCAGGGCGUGCUGCGGGUUCCGGCCGUUAAACAACCUUACAAAACCCAAGGUUGACCUCGGAUCAGGUAGGAAGACCCGCUGAACUUAAGC
rnacentral:misc_RNA from 1 species